AUCACAUGGUGGCUCACAACCAUCCAUAAUGAGAUCUGACAUCCUCUUCUGUCAGUAACAUGGAGUGAGUGAGCUGGGUGUGGUGGUAUGCCUGUAAUCUGAGAAGCCAAGGCCAGAGGAACACACAAAUCAAAGGAAGCUUGCGGCACCAGAUCAACCCCCUACAGCUGGGAAGACAGACAGACAGACAGACAGGAGGAUGGAGAAGAAUUGUUUGAGCCCACGAAUUGAGGACUCCAGUGACAUUGGUUACUUUUUGUCAACUUGACACAGGUAAGGCAACUGAG